rnacentral:rRNA from 1 species
GGCAGCAGUGGGGAAUAUUGCACAAUGGGCGCAAGCCUGAUGCAGCGACGCCGCGUGAGGGAUGACGGCCUUCGGGUUGUAAACCUCUUUCAGUAGGGAAGAAGCGAAAGUGACGGUACCUGCAGAAGAAGCACCGGCUAACUACGUGCCAGCAGCCGCGGUAAUACGUAGGGUGCGAGCGUUAUCCGGAAUUAUUGGGCGUAAAGAGCUCGUAGGCGGUUUGUCGCGUCUGUCGUGAAAGUCCGGGGCUUAACCCCGGAUCUGCGGUGGGUACGGGCAGACUAGAGUGCAGUAGGGGAGACUGGAAUUCCUGGUGUAGCGGUGGAAUGCGCAGAUAUCAGGAGGAACACCGAUGGCGAAGGCAGGUCUCUGGGCUGUAACUGACGCUGAGGAGCGAAAGCAUGGGGAGCGAACAGGAUUAGAUACCCUGGUAGUCCAUGCCGUAAACGUUGGGCACUAGGUGUGGGGACCAUUCCACGGUUUCCGCGCCGCAGCUAACGCAUUAAGUGCCCCGCCUGGGGAGUACGGCCGCAAGGCUAAAACUCAAAGGAAUUGACGGGGGCCCGCACAAGCGGCGGAGCAUGCGGAUUAAUUCGAUGCAACGCGAAGAACCUUACCAAGGCUUGACAUGUUCUCGAUCGCCGUAGAGAUACGGUUUCCCCUUUGGGGCGGGUUCACAGGUGCUGCUGGGCUGUCAAAAAUGUCAAGCCUUGGUAAGGUUCUUCG